rnacentral:rRNA from 1 species
GAAUUUUGGACAAUGGGCGAAAGCCUGAUCCAGCACUGCCGCGUGCAGGAUGAAGGCCUUCGGGUUGUAAACUGCUUUUGUACGGAACGACAAGCUUUAGGUUAAUACCCUGGAGUCAUGACGGUACCGUAAGAAUAAGCAACGGCUAACUACGUCCCAGAAGCCGCGGUUAUACGCGUGGUGCAAGCGUUAAUCGGAAUUACUGGGCGUAAAGCGUGCGCAGGCGGGUUUGUAAGACAGAGGUGAAAUCCCCGGGCUCAACCUGGGAACUGCCUUUGUGACUGCAAGGCUAGAGUACGGCAGAGGGGGGUGGAAUUCCGCGUGUAGCAGUGAAAUGCGUAGAUAUGCGGAGGAACACCGAUGGCGAAGGCAACCCCCUGGGCCUGUACUGACGCUCAUGCACGAAAGCGUGGGGAGCAAACA